rnacentral:rRNA from 1 species
AUUGAACGCUGGCGGCAGGCCUAACACAUGCAAGUCGAGCGAGCGGCGGACGGGUGAGUAAUGUAUGGGGAAAUGCCUGAUGGAGGGGGAUAACUCCUGGCAACGGUGGCUAAUACCGCAUACUGUCGGAUGAACCCAGAUGGGAUUAGCUAGGAGGUAAGGUAAUGGCUUACCUAGGCGACGAUCCCUAGCUGGUCUGAGAGGAUGAUCAGCCACACUGGAACUGAGACACGGUCCAGACUCCUACGGGAGGCAGCAGUGGGGAAUAUUGCACAAUGGGCGCAAGCCUGAUGCAGCCAUGCCGCGUGUAUGAAGAAGGCCGUAGGGUUGUAAAGGACUUGCAGUCGGGAGGCGUUACCCGCAGAAGAAGCACCGGCUAACUCCGUGCCAGCAGCCGCGGUAAUAC